GGAUAGCUCAGUCGGUAGAGCAUGAGACUCUUAAUUUCAUGGUCAUGGGUUCGAGCCCCAUGUUGGGCA
rnacentral:tRNA from 1 species